GGAGGAGUGCCUGAGCGGUUGAAAGGGACGGUCUUGAAAACCGUUAUACGGGAAACCGUAUCGUGAGUUCGAAUCUCACCUCCUCCG
rnacentral:tRNA from 1 species